GGUUCUAUAGUGUAGAGGUAUCACAAGCGCUUGUGGCGCGCUUAACCCGUGUUCGAUUCACGGUGGGACCA
rnacentral:tRNA from 1 species